rnacentral:lncRNA from 1 species
GGUUGACAUCUGUUGCUUUUGGUGACGGACUUUGGCUUUGCCAAUUGGUUCAACGAUGUGCCAAAUCAUCUCUCUCGCCGCCAUUUUGAAAAGAGUUGAGUUAUCCCAAACUAUUAUGAUUGGUGAAGAAAGUGUCAUUUUGGUGAUGCAUAGGUGAACUUGAUGAUACGUCGACUGACACUUGUGAUGCGUUUGUGCAUAUUUUACUUUAAUCCUCUAUCUUUUUUAUUCCUUUAGCUUCUUUU